CACUACCCCUUAUCUAUUCACAGUUUAUCCAAUAUCCAUUCAUCGUGUUGUGAUUAUACUAUGGCAGCGUUAGAAUCAUCACUUUCUGUGUUCGCACCUCAACGUUUCUCCACUAUCCAUCUCUUCCCUGCAAAACCACCCGAAUUCGUUAAGCUCCAUGCUUCCCUUUCCCACUCUCACAACCUUCUCUUCUCUUCCAAUGCCUCCUCCAAAACCCCAAAACCCUGCACUCAAUUAUGCUCUGCUUUGCAAGAAGUAGCAGAAGCAGCUACGGAGGAAGAACCAGAGCAAGACCAGCAAGCAACCUAUAUCAAGAAGAAGCUCUACGUGUUUAACUUGCCUUGGUCUAUGUCCGCCGCUGACAUCAAAGACCUCUUUGGACAGUGCGGAACUGUCACCGACGUCGAGAUAAUAAGGGGCAAAGAUGGGAGAGGCAAAGGAUAUGCUUUUGUUACUAUGGCUUCUGGGGAAGAGGCUCAGGCUGCUGUUGAUAAAUUUGACACUCUUGAAUUAUCCGGACGGAUAUUAAGGGUAGAGCUUGCAAAGAGAUUUAAGAAACCUUCUCCCCCAGGUCCUCCAAGUCCUCCUCCUAGUGAGGCACGUCAUGUAAUUUAUGCAUCCAACCUUGCAUGGAAAGUAAGAUCUACCCAUCUCAGAGAAUUCUUCACUGAGAAUUUCAAAGCACCACUUUCAGCCAGAAUUGUCUUUGAUACCCCUUCUGGAAGGGCAACUGGGUAUGGAUUUAUUUCUUAUCUUACAAAGGAGGAAGCAGAGGCUGCCAUAUCUGCUUUGGAUGGGAAGGAGUUAAUGGGACGAUCACUUUUUCUAAAAAUCAGUGAAAAAAAAGUUAAAGAAGCUGGAAGCGAAAAAGAUGAAGACUUAGACCAAGGUCAUGAUGCCCCAACAGAAGAAUCAUAAAUUCUAAAUAUUCAUGAUCUUUGGCGGCGGAACAUGGAGUGAGAGUAAACGUCUCUACGAGCUGGAAUUUCACCUCAUAUAUACAAAGCUAUGGGAUGCCUUUUUGUAUUCACAAUUUUUUUCACCAAGGUUAAGUUUGGUAUACCUUUACAAUGCAGGCGAAUUUUUUAUAAACUUUGAGAAAUAUUCUAGAGCUAUACCACCUGCUUGAUAUUGACCGUGGCCGUCGGAGAUGAUUUGGGCUACCAUGUUCUGGUGAUGUCAAUAGCCCAAUACAUAUGAAACUUACUAGAUUGAUUUACUUUUUAUAAUGCAAUCUACUUUUUAACAAACUUAAAAACUAAUAUUCUAAUUUGUGCAAGUCACUACUCACUAGAUUGAUUUAACUGUGUAAGAUUUGAGAAAUGUACUUAAGCUUAUAGAUUC